CGCGUUUUAAGCAUGCAAGUCGAGCGGCAAGGGCCUUCGGGCCCCUAGAGCGGCGGACGGGUGAGUAACACGUGGACAAUCUGCCCCCCGGCCCGGGAUAGCCCAGGGAAACCUGGAUUAAUACCGGAUGAGACGGGACCCGCGAUGGCGGGAUCCGGGAAAGGCGCUGCGGCGCCGCCGGGGGAUGAGUCUGCGUCCCAUUAGCUAGACGGCGGGGUAACGGCCCACCGUGGCGACGAUGGGUAGCCGGCCUGAGAGGGUGGACGGCCACAUUGGAACUGAGACACGGUCCAGACUCCUACGGGAGGCAGCAGCUAAGAAUCUUCCGCAAUGGGCGAAAGCCUGACGGAGCCGACGCCGCGUGAACGAAGAAGGCCGUGAGGUUGUAAAGUUCUUUUCGGGAGGGGGAACAACCGUGGCAGGGAAUGGCCGCGGGAUGACGUGAAUCCCGGAAUAAGCCCCGGCUAACUACGUGCCAGCCGCAGC
rnacentral:rRNA from 1 species